rnacentral:rRNA from 1 species
GACGAACGCUGGCGGCGUGCUUAACACAUGCAAGUCGAACGGAAAGGCCCUGCUUUUGUGGGGUGCUCGAGUGGCGAACGGGUGAGUAACACGUGAGUAACCUGCCCUUGACUUUGGGAUAACUUCAGGAAACUGGGGCUAAUACCGGAUAGGAGCUCCUGCUGCAUGGUGGGGGUUGGAAAGUUUCGGCGGUUGGGGAUGGACUCGCGGCUUAUCAGCUUGUUGGUGGGGUAGUGGCUUACCAAGGCUUUGACGGGUAGCCGGCCUGGGAGGGUGACCGGCCACAUUGGGACUGAGGGACGGCCCAGACUCCUACGGGAGGCAGGAGUGGGGAAUAUUGCGCAAUGGGCGGAAGCCUGAUGCAGCAACGCCGCGUGCGGGAUGACGGCCUUCGGGUUGUAAACCGCUUUCGCCUGUGACGAAGCGUGAGUGACGGUAAUGGGUAAAGAAGCACCGGCUAACUACGUG